UUCCCGUACCAUCACCGAAGUUAAGCAACGUCGUGCCUGUCCUGUACCUCGAUGGGUGACCAAUUUGGAAUACCAGGUGCUGUAAG